GACGAACGCUGGCGGCGUGCUUAACACAUGCAAGUCGAACGAUAAAGCCCUGCUUGUUGGGUGUCCUCGAGGCGCAAGCGUGAGUAACACAUGAGUAUAAUGCCCUCAUCACUGGGGUAAGACUGGAAAAAAGUGGCUCAUACCGGGUAUGAGCGCCCCUGCCAUGUGGGGGGGUGGAGAGAUUUUCGGCGGUUGGGGAUGGACUCGCGGCCUAUCAGCUUGUUGGUGGGGUAGUGGCUUACCAAGGCUUCGACGGGUAGCCGGCCUGAGAGGGUGACCGGCCACACUGGGACUGAGACACGGCCCAGACUCCUACGGGAGGCAGCAGUGGGGAAUAUUGCACAAUGGGCGGAAGCCUGAUGCAGCAACGCCGCGUGAGGGAUGACGGCCUUCGGGUUGUAAACCGCUUUCGGCUGUGACGAAGCGAGAGUGACGGUACUGGGUAAAGAAGCACCGGCUAACUACGUG
rnacentral:rRNA from 1 species